rnacentral:rRNA from 1 species
GUGGGGAAUCUUGCGCAAUGGGCGAAAGCCUGACGCAGCCAUGCCGCGUGGAUGAUGAAGGUCUUAGGAUUGUAAAAUCCUUUCACCGGUGAAGAUAAUGACUGUAGCCGGAGAAGAAGCCCCGGCUAACUUCGUGCCAGCAGCCGCGGUAAUACGAAGGGGGCUAGCGUUGCUCGGAUUUACUUGGCGUAAAGGGCGCGUAGGCGGACAUUUAAGUCAGGGGUGAAAUCCCGGGGCUCAACCUCGGAACUGCCUUUGAUACUGGGUGUCUUGAGUAUGAGAGAGGUGUGUGGAACUCCGAGUGUAGAGGUGAAAUUCGUAGAUAUUCGGAAGAACACCAGUGGCGAAGGCGACACACUGGCUCAUUACUGACGCUGAGGCGCGAAAGCGUGGGGAGCAAACAGGAUUAGAUACCCGUGUAGUCC